GCGACCCGGCCACUCCCUGGCUGGGCCCUGAGGGUACAGGGUGGAAGCAGAGAGAGGCCUUUGGGGGCUGUCCCAGGGCCAUGCUUUAUCGAUCUUUUCCCACCUGUUGGUGCUGAAUCCAUCUGCUCACUAGUGGGUGUGAAAAAAGACUGAGGCCAGAGUUGAGUCAGGGACCAAGGAAGCCACCAGAAAACUACAGAGUUCCCAGGACUAGUGCUUCGCCUCUGAGGCCGGCUGCCUGGUGGGGGAAACGCUGUCCGGUGCUAGCACGUAAGCCCUGAGUAAGCGGUGAGGACGCUGUGCGCGUCUGCUGUCCCUUACACGGCGCUUGGCCUCCUUCCCUUCUCAGCGUCACGUGACAGUGGGCCUCGUGGAAGGGGCCAGGGCGAGCCUUCCGUUACUUAUUGACCAUCACAGCUUUUUGGCCACAUCGGAUGUGCAAACAAAUGAAAACGAUCUGUGAGCAAAAGCCGACAGGUCCUCACCCUCCGGCUCCACGCACAGCUGGGAGCAGAACAGACACCGACUUCCCACGGAACUGAGCAGCUCA